GGGGACGUAGCUCAGUUGGCAGAGCACCUGCUUUGCAAGCAGGGGGUCGUGGGUUCGAAUCCCAUCGUCUCCACCA
rnacentral:tRNA from 1 species